AAAUCACCACAGCCUCCUUACUACAGCUCUGUUAGGAGAUAGAUGCACAUAUGGUCUUCUGUCAGGGGGCCUUGGAACAGCAGUGUCUCUGCUUCCCAGGAUUGAGUCCCCCCAUCCUGAGCAACAAGUACUGCGGGAUUCUUCCCCUCUCAGAGAGCAGCAAGUUUCUUUCAUCGAACAUUAGCAUAUGCAGUAAGUUGACACUCAAUGUGAAGGAAAGGCCUGGUACCACCAGAAACUUCGCGGUCAUGGUAAGGUGAGUAAAGGGUGACAUUGGUUGAUUAGCAGGAUGUGGAAAGAUCAUUUCAAAACUAUGAAGCAGAGGCUUCCUUUGAAUGUAAGUUUGGGAUGAUUAUUCUACUACUGGAACCUCUAUGUCAUACCUGCAAUGCAUAGGAGUAAG